rnacentral:rRNA from 1 species
UGGGGAAUAUUGCACAAUGGGGGAAACCCUGAUGCAGCAACGCCGCGUGAAGGAAGACGGUUUUCGGAUUGUAAACUUCUUUUCUUAGUGAAGAAACAAAUGACGGUAGCUAAGGAAUAAGCAUCGGCUAACUACGUGCCAGCAGCCGCGGUAAUACGUAGGAUGCGAGCGUUAUCCGGAAUUACUGGGUGUAAAGGGAGCGCAGGCGGGACUGCAAGUUGGAUGUGAAAUGCCGCAGCUUAACUGCGGAGCUGCAUCCAAACUGUAGUUCUUGAGUGGAGUAGAGGCAAGCGGAAUUCCGAGUGUAGCGGUGAAAUGCGUAGAUAUUCGGAGGAACACCAGUGGCGAAGGCGGCUUGCUGGGCUCUAACUGACGCUGAGGCUCGAAAGUGUGGGGAUCAAACAGGAUUAGAUACC